UACAGAGGUCCCGAGCGUUGUUCGGAUUCACUGGGCGUAAAGGGUGCGUAGGUGGCGGGGUAAGUCUGAUGUGAAAUCUCCAAGCUUAACUUGGAAAUGGCAUUGGAAACUACUCUGCUAGAGGGUUGGAGGGGGGACUGGAAUACUUGGUGUAGCAGUGAAAUUCGUAGAUAUCGAGAGGAACACCGGUGGCGAAGGCGGCUAUCUGGACAGUGACUGACGCUGAGACGCGAAAGCGUGGGGAGCAAACAGG
rnacentral:rRNA from 1 species